CCCCUGCCCACGCGGGGGACCCUGCAGGAAUGGGGAGGGAAUGUGCCUCCUGCGCCUGCACCAGGAACAGAGCCGAGCAACUCCCUGAGGUCAGUGACCAGGUGUGACACCUCUGUCCCCACCCAGCCCGCACCUGGCCGGAUGCUGCCAACACAAUGGAUGCUCCCUAAGCAUCUCUGGCUUUAAUGUUAUUGUUCCUGUGGCUUUUCUGUUAACUUGAGAGGAGAUCCUGGGAAGAAUGAGGGCUGGAAAUGCUGUGAGAAAUCAUGAGGCUGUGGCUGGAGAAGCCUGGGGAAGAAGUGAGCAGCUAACAGCUCCUAUUGACACUGAGCAGGUUGUUAGCUAUGUGGCCAGCGGGCACUGUCCAAGUGGCAAAUGGAGAGGUGGGACCGAAGAGGAGCAGAAGCUGAGAGGCAGAAAACAAUCAGCAGUUUAUCUGGGCUCACAUCCUUUCAAGAAGUGGGACAGGAGUCUGGACCCAGGUCUGUGCUGGAGACUUGAGAAAGACUUCAAGCAGAAGGGACUCUGAGCUGAAGACAAGAGGGAGGAAGAGAAACAGGCUCUGCAGAGCGAAUUUAGGCCAAGAAAAAGUAGGAAAGAAGGUGUCCUCUACAGCGUGAGGGGGAUUACUGUGAGAGGGACAGCACCAAAGAGCCCUCAAGGUCCACGGCCCUUUUCCAUCUGCCGCCUCAGCUGAGUCAGGUCCAGCUGCCCUAUGGAAAACCUGCUUGAGUUCUCGCGAGAAGUCCGCUCUCA
rnacentral:lncRNA from 1 species